GUCUACAGCCAUACCACCCUGAACGCGCCAGAUCUCGUCUGAUCUCGGAAGCUAAGCAGGGUUGGGCCUGGUUAGUACUUGAAUGGGAGAAUGUAAGUAGGUAAGACA
ensembl:rRNA 5S_rRNA 5S ribosomal RNA